rnacentral:rRNA from 1 species
GAUGAACGCUGGCGGCGUGCCUAAUACAUGCAAGUCGAGCGAACAGACCAGGAGCUUGCUCCUCUGACGUUAGCGGCGGACGUGUGAGUUACACGUGGAUAACCUACCUAUUCGACUGGGAUAACCUCGGGAAACCGGAGCUAAUACCGGGUAAUAUAUUGAACCGCAUGGUUCAAUAGUGAAAGACGGCUUUGCUAUCACUUUUAGCUGGAUCCGCGCCGCAUUAGCUAGUUGGUAAGGUAACGGCUUACCAAGGCAACGAUGCGUAGCCGCCCCGAGAGGGUGAUCGGCCGCGCUGGAUCUGGGACACGGGGCAGGCUCCUACGGGAGGCAGCAGCAGGGACUCUUCCGCAAUGCGAGAAAGCCUGCCGGAGCAACGCCGCGCAGGUGAUGAAGGUCUGCGGAUCGUGAGCCUCUGUUAUUAGGGAAGAGCAAAUGUGUAAGUAACUAGACACGUCUGGACGGUACCUAAUCAGAAAGCCACGGCUAACUACGC